AGUGAACGCUGGCGGUAUGCCUAACACAUGCAAGUCGAACGGCAGCACAGUGAGAUUUUGCUCUUACCGUUGGCGAGUGGCGGGCGGGUGAGGAAUACAUCGGAAUCUACUUUUUCGUGGGUGAUAACGUAGGGAAGCUGACGCUAAUACCGCAUACGAUCUACGGGUGGAAUCAGUAGAUAUUCGCAGCUUUCGCGUUUGAAUUAGCCGAUGUCGGAUUAGCUAGUUGGCGGGGUAAAGGCCCACCAAGGCGACGAUGCGUAGCUGAUCUGAGAGGAUGAUCAGCCACACUGGAACUGAGACACGGUCCAGACUCCUACGGGAGGCAGCAGUGGGGAAUAUUGCGCAAUGGGCGAAAGCCUGACGGAGCAAUGCCGCGUGGGUGAAGAAGGCCUUCGGGUUGUAAAGCCCUUUUAUUGGGAAAGAAAAGAAGUAGGUUAAACCAUGGCUGUUCUGACGGUACCCAAAGAAUAAGCACCGGCUAACUACGUG
rnacentral:rRNA from 1 species